rnacentral:rRNA from 1 species
GAUGAACGCUGGCAGAAUGCUUAACACAUGCAAGUCUACUUGAAUUUGGGUUUUUUAACUUAGAUUUGGGUGGCGGACGGGUGAGUAACGCGUAAAGAACUUGCCUCACAGCUAGGGACAACAUUUGGAAACGAAUGCUAAUACCUGAUAUUAUGAUUAUAAGGCAUCUUAGAAUUAUGAAAGCUAUAUGCGCUGUGAGAGAGCUUUGCGUCCCAUUAGCUAGUUGGAGAGGUAACGGCUCACCAAGGCGAUGAUGGGUAGCCGGCCUGAGAGGGGGAACGGCAACAAGGGGACUGAGACACGGCCCUAACUCUUACGGGAGGCAGCAGUGGGGAAUAUUGGACAAUGGACGAAGAGUCUGAUACAGCAAUUGUGUGUGCAAGAUGACGUUUUUCGGAAUGUAAAGUGCUUUCAGUUGGGAAGAAAAAAAUGACGGUACCAACAGAAGAAGUGACGGCUAAAUACGUG